rnacentral:pre_miRNA from 1 species
CAACCUUCGUAGGCUGGGGGCGGCCCCUCAGGCCCAGCUGGGCGAGUAUCUUUUCGAACGCCUCACCCUCAAACACGACUAGAAAA